rnacentral:rRNA from 1 species
AAUCAACGCUGGCGGCGCGCUUAACACAUGCAAGUCGAGCGAGAAAGGGGAGCAAUCCCUGAGUAAAGCGGCGCACGGGUGAGUAACACGUGGGGAAUCUACCUCUGGGUGGGGAAUAACUCUGGGAAACCGGAGCUAAUACCGCAUAAGCCUGGGAAGGGAAAGUCGAAAGACGCCGGGAGAGGACCCCGCGGCCGAUUAGCUAGUUGGUGAGGUAACGGCUCACCAAGGCAAAGAUCGGUAGCCGGCCUGAGAGGGCACACGGCCACACUGGCACUGAAACACGGGCCAGACUCCUACGGGAGGCAGCAGUGGGGAAUCUUGCACAAUGGGGGCAACCCUGAUGCAGCGACGCCGCGUGAGCGAUGAAGCCCUUCGGGCGUAAAGCUCUUUCGGCAGGAACGAUAAUGACGGUACCUGAAGAAGAAGCUGCGGCUAACUACGUGCCAGCAGCCG